CCUACGGGUGGCAGCAACUAGGAAUCUUGCGCAAUGGACGAAAGUCUGACGCAGCGACACCGCGUGUAAGAAGACGCUUUUCGGAGUGUAAAUUACUGUGGCAGGGGAUGAAUUUUGACAGUACCCUGCUAGAAAGCACCUGCUAACUACGUGCCAGAAGCCUCGGUAAUACGUAGGGUGCAAGCGUUAUCCGGAUUUACUGGGCGUAAAGCGUACCGUCGGCGUCUUGUUUAGUCUUUAGUUUAAACCCAGGGCUCAACUCUGGAAGGGCUAAAGAUACUGGCAGGAU
rnacentral:rRNA from 1 species